rnacentral:pre_miRNA from 1 species
UCCUAUAGAUGAGUAAAGAAAGUGGUUUCUUGAGAUGGAAUCUAGUCCUGGUGUAGAUGCUAUGAA